rnacentral:misc_RNA from 1 species
UGUGUGAACGUACCUAUCUUGUAGUGAGAUGAAUGCUGUUUUGGUGGUAGGGCCCUUCUGAAGAGAGGGCACCGCUGCCAGCAGUAUAGUCUCACCACUAUGAAACUCUUUUAUUAUUUUCUAGAUUUUUCAUUGCUGAGUGGGAUAACUAUAAAAAAGUUAAAACUUUCAACAACGGAUCUCUUGGCGCUACCAUCGAUGAAGAACGACAGCGAAAUGCGAUAAGUAAUGUGAAUUGCAGAAUUCAUUGAAUCAUCGAAUCUUUGAACGCACAUUGCGCCUGGCGGUAUUCUGCCGGGCAUGCCUGUCCGAGCGUCAUUUCUCCACUCAAGACUCUUUUGUUCUUGGCGUUGGAGGUCCUGUUCUCCCCUGAACAGGCCGCCGAAAUGUAUCGGCUGUUAUACUUGCCGACUCCCCUGUGGAGUAUAAAAUUUCUAAUUUUUCUCACUUUGAAGUUCUUGUGUAACACGCCGCUAAACCCGCUCAACUUUUGUUGAACUUUUUUAAGGUGGACCUCGGAUCAGGUAGGAAAACCCGCUGAACUUAUGCAUAU